GCCGGACGGCGCGCGAGGGAAGGGUGGCCGGCGACCCGGGCCCGGCGGCCGGACUCCCUCGUAGCACAACUUCGGCGAAACGGGGCUGAGGAACCGGUUCUUCCAAAGAGCAAAGCGAAAAAAAAUGGGUGGAGACAGGAGGCUUGAAUUCAGGACCUUGCACAUGGUAAUAUCGGAACUCAACCAGGUGUAUCACUGCCUACGCUCAAACCAUUUUUGGGUUGCCCGCAAGAAAAAGAUGGCAGAGAAGAAAAUUGGUUUCUCUGAGGAAGCAAG